UACAGAGGGGGGCAAGCGUUGUUCGGAAUUACUGGGCGUAAAGGGCGCGUAGGCGGCCUGCUAAGUCGAACGUGAAAUCCCUGGGCUCAACCCAGGAACUGCGUCCGAUACUGGUUGGCUUGAAUCCGGGAGAGGGACGUGGAAUUCCAGGUGUAGCGGUGAAAUGCGUAGAUAUCAAGAGGAACACCUGCGGCGAAGGCGGGUUGCUGGGCCGACACUGACGCUGAGGCGCGAAAGCCAGGGGGAGCGAACGGG
rnacentral:rRNA from 1 species